rnacentral:rRNA from 1 species
UACAGAGACCUCAAGCGUUAUCCGGAAUCAUUGGGCGUAAAGCGUUCCGAUAGGUGGUUUUGAAAGUCUUGGGUAAAAGCCAGAAGCUUAACUUCUGCGUUUGCUUAAGAUACUGCAAAACUAGAGGGGCAAAGAGGUGCUUGGAACGAAUGGUGUAGUAGUGAAAUGCGUUGAUAUCAUUCGGAACACCGAAAGCGAAGGCAGAGCACUGGGUGCCACCUGACACUGCUAGGACGAAAGCGUGGGGAGCGAAUGGG